rnacentral:sRNA from 1 species
GCUUAGCCCCGAUAGAAGUGGAAAUCCUUUUUAUUUUUCCUUUAAAAAUAAAAAGAUUGCAACGGAUAGCGGGACCAAUG